rnacentral:rRNA from 1 species
UGGGGACGACGUCAAGUCAUCAUGGCCCUUAUGUCCAGGGCCACACACGUGCUACAAUGGGCGGUACAAAGGGUCGCAAACCCGCGAGGGGGAGCCAAUCCCAAAAAGCCGCUCUCAGUUCGGAUUGGAGUCUGCAACUCGACUCCAUGAAGUUGGAAUCGCUAGUAAUCGCGGAUCAGCACGCCGCGGUGAAUACGUUCCCGGGCCUUGUACACACCGCCCGUCACACCAUGGAAGCCAGCUGUACCGGAAGUC